rnacentral:lncRNA from 1 species
GUAAAAACUAUCCAAAUACUGAAAUUUACAAAUUAAGUCCUGACAUAAACAAGGACUGAUAAGGGAACCUCCCCCUAAGAUUCUUACUCUUGAAAGGACUCCACAAGCCUUUUCACUCAACAUCCUAACUUUCCAGAAGGAAAGUUAAUAAGAAGAUCACAUGGAUGCAAUGUUGAUCUUUUUUUUGCAAAAGACUCCGAAGGCUCCUCAGCCUGUCCGUGGCUCUGAACCACUGGCCGGGAGGAGAUUUCACUGAAGAAAGACUCAGGUUCUCAGCAGAAUGGUUAAAUGACCAGAAAGUCUUCAGAACUGAAAUUUGUCAAGUAGCACUUGAGGUGCCAGGAUCAACCGCUCUGUUGAAAACAACUGAAAAUACCAGGUAAAAUUUUUAUAAUCUUUUUUUUUUUUUUUU